GACUUUCCGUUGUCACAGCCUGGGGACGGGCCUGCCCCUGGCAGCUCGCCUGCAGGGGCCAGAGAUGUUGCUCGACCUCAGACGUGCACGGGGCAGCCCUGUAACAACACAUCGCCCCGCAAACCAUGUCAAGACGGAGAACCGUGGCCGACGUUCCCUGUUUAAGAGAUAAACAAUAGGAAGAAGUCCAGUCAAGGAAAUGAUUUCAAGGCAAGCAAGAGAGACUAAUGGAUAUCAACCUUUAAGACUGGAGAAGACUCAGCCCAAGUUGUGGGGAUAGAAGAUGAUUUUAAAGAGCAAAUAAACUUAAGGUGGAUCUUGAAGAAUUAUUGGGAGAUAAUUAGGCACAUAAAAGGGGAAAUGGAUAAAGGAACCUGAAAUAAGACAAAAUAUCAUGACAGAAUUUGGAAGGUACAGCUAAAGACCAAGAGGGUGGAUGAGGUUGUCCACGGAGACUGAAAGCAAAGACAAUGGUAACAUGCAGAGCCUUGGGGAACAGAUGCUUGAAGUCGUGCUCAAGCCUCUUGUGUCCACUGCCUAUUGUUCACGAUAUUGUUCAAGUUUGUAAUGCCUUUACCUUGAUAGAUGUCAACAGCAAGUAUAAUAUAGUUUGUAGAAUAU